GAAGGACUAGUCAAGCAUCCUACUGCAGCACCAAAUUUCACGAGACCACCAAAAAAUACUUACCUUUCACUAUGGUUUGAGCAUUUCCAGAGAUAAAUGUCAUUUCCUAAUCCUAUAUUUUCCCGCUUAACAUGGGCUUUAUUUUCUUGUAUCAUUUUAUCUUUCACUUCUUUCUUCUUUCAUUCUCCCAGCUGAGCUGUUUUGUAAACGUACUUUGAGAAGG
rnacentral:lncRNA from 1 species